GACGAACGCUGGCGGCGUGCUUAACACAUGCAAGUCGAACGGAAAGGCCCUGCUUUUGUGGGGUGCUCGAGUGGCGAACGGGUGAGUAACACGUGAGUAACCUGCCCUUGACUUUGGGAUAACUUCAGGAAACUGGGGCUAAUACCGGAUAGGAGCUCCUGCUGCAUGGUGGGGGUUGGAAAGUUUCGGCGGUUGGGGAUGGACUCGCGGCUUAUCAGCUUGUUGGUGGGGUAGUGGCUUACCAAGGCUUUGACGGGUAGCCGGCCUGAGAGGGUGACCGGCAACAUUGGGACUGAGAGACGGCACAGACUCCUACGGGAGGCAGCAGUGGGGAAUAUUGCACAAUGGGCGGAAGCCUGAUGCAGCAACGCCGCGUGCGGGAUGACGGCCUUCGGGUUGUAAACCGCUUUCGCCUGUGACGAAGCGUGAGUGACGGUAAUGGGUAAAGAAGCACCGGCUAACUACGUG
rnacentral:rRNA from 1 species